rnacentral:lncRNA from 1 species
AAGAGACUUAGAAAUUUUAGCUUUUUAAAUGUGUGGGCUGCUGAUAAGAUUUGGCUCUGUGUCCCCACCCAAAUCUCAUCUUGAAUUGUAAUCCCCCCAUGUCUAGGGAGGGACCUGGUGGGAGGUGAUUGGAUCAUGAAGGCGGUUUCUCCCAUGCUGUUCUCAUGACAGUGAGUGAGUUUUCCUGAGAGCUGAUGGUUUUAAGUGUGGCACUUCCUCAUUCGUUCACACUCUCUCCUGCCGCCUUGUGAAGAAGGUACUUGCUUCUCCUUUGCCUUCUGCCAUGUUUGUACACCCAUUGCAAUGCAACUUUGCAGAAAUCCCUUUCAAGAGAUCAAGUCUAUUUCCCACCCCUUGAAUCUGGACAGACUUUUGACUUACUUUGGCUAAUACGAUGCAGCAAAAGCAAUCCUGUGCCAGUUGAUCAAGAGGCCCAGCAGCUCCCACUGCCUUGGACCCCUGUCCUGCUGUCAUAUAAACAAAUAUGGGCUAGCCUGCUACAGGCUGAGAGACCAUGUGAAGCAGAACCAAGUUGUUCCAGUUGAAGCCAUCCAGAUCAUCCUAUAGCCAGCUGACCCCAAAACAUGUGACAGACCCCAGCCCAGAUCAGCAGAUCUGCCUAUCCAAUCUGCAGCUGACCUGAGACACAUGAGUGAGCCCAGCUAAGACUACAAGAACCAUCCAGCUGAUCUGAAAAUUCAUUAAUCAAAUCAAUGCUUAUUGUUGUUAGCUGUAUUGCUUUUCUAUUGCUUUGUAACAAAUUACCACAAAUUUAGUGGCUUAAAACAACACCCAUUUAUUAGCUCACAGUUCUGUAAGUUAGAAAUCUGGAUGGGUUCAGUGGGGUUAGAGUCUCCUUAGAGUCUCACAACCAGUAUUUAGCUUCACUGCUGAGCCAUGUAGUGUACUAUAUUAAUAUUUCCUUUCUUAUGCAACUUGGAGUUGAUAGCUGCUGGCUUUUUUUAUUCACUUAUUUUUAUUGAUACAUAAUAUUUGCAAUUUAUGGGGUACAUGUGAUAUUUUGAUUCCGGCACACAAGGUGUAAUAAUCAAGUCAGGGUGUUUAGAAUAUCCAUCACCUUGAACAUGUAUUAUUUCCUUGUGUUGGGAGCAUUUCAAAUCUAGCUAUUUUGACAUAUAUGGCUGUUAACUAUAGUCAUUCCACUGUGCUAUUGAAUACUAGAACAUAUUCCUUCUCUCUAACUGCAGGUUUGUACCCAUUAAUAAACCUUUCUUCAUCCUUCCACCCCCACUUUCCCAGCCUCUGGCAACUAAUAUAUACAUAAUAUCUAUCUAUUCCCUUGCUGGGUAGGGGAGGGACAGUUGCUGUGUGGGUUAGAAAAAUAGGCCAGGGAGCGGGUGGGAGAUCUCACAGCUCUUUCUACAAACUCUCGUCUAAAUCCAACAUCUAAAUCCAACACAUAAACACCCUAUUAUUUCUCUCAUAAAAGCAAAACAAAACCAAAUCCAAAAAGCCUCACUCCUACUCCACCUCCCGCCUUCUGAUCUCAUGUCUCCCUUCCAUUUGUAGCAAAACUUUUUGGAAGACCUUUCUUCUGUCCAAUAUGGCAGCCCCUAGCUACAUGUGGCUCUCGAGCACUUGCAGUGUAGCCAGCAAAAUCGAGGUGCAUUGUAAGGGUAAAAUAUACACCACAUUUCAAAGACAUCAUAUGAAAAACAAUGCAAACU